AACGAACGCUGGCGGCAUGCCUAACACAUGCAAGUCGAACGAGACCUUCGGGUCUAGUGGCGCACGGGUGCGUAACGCGUUGGAACCUGCCCUUAGGUUCGGAAUAACUCCCCGAAAGGGGUGCUAAUACCGGAUAAUGUCUUCGGACCAAAGAUUUAUCGCCUUUGGAUGGGCCCGCGUUGGAUUAGCUAGUUGGUAGGGUAAAAGCCUACCACGGCGACGAUCCAUAGCUGGUCUGAGAGGAUGAUCAGCCACACUGGGACUGAGACACGGCCCAGACUCCUACGGGAAGCAGCAGUGGGGAAUAUUGGACAAUGGGCGAAAGCCUGAUCCAGCAAUGCCGCGUGAGUGAUGAAGGCCGUAGGGUUGUAAAGCUCUUUUACCCGGGAUGAUAAUGACAGUACCGGGAGAAUAAGCUCCGGCUAACUCCGUG
rnacentral:rRNA from 1 species